AGAGUUUGAUCCUGGCUCAGAUUGAACGCUGGCGGCAUGCUUUACACAUGCAAGUCGAGCGGCAGCGCGGGGGCAACCCUGGCGGCGAGCGGCGAACGGGUGAGUAAUGCAUCGGAACGUGUCCCGUAGUGGGGGAUAACGCCGCGAAAGCGGCGCUAAUACCGCAUACGCUCUACGGAGGAAAGCAGGGGAUCCGCAAGGACCUUGCGUUAUGGGAGCGGCCGAUGUCCGAUUAGCUAGUUGGUGGGGUAACGGCCUACCAAGGCGACGAUCGGUAGCUGGUCUGAGAGGAUGAUCAGCCACACUGGGACUGAGACACGGCCCAGACUCCUACGGGAGGCAGCAGUGGGGAAUUUUGGACAAUGGGGGCAACCCUGAUCCAGCCAUGCCGCGUGCGGGAAGAAGGCCUUCGGGUUGUAAACCGCUUUUAGCCGGGAAGAAAAGGUUCGGGUUAAUACCCCGGAUUUUUGACGGUACCGGCGGAAUAAGCACCGGCUAACUACGUGCCAGCAGCCGCGGUAAUAC
rnacentral:rRNA from 1 species